UACGUAGGGGGCAAGCGUUGUCCGGAUUUAUUGGGCGUAAAGAGCUCGUAGGCGGUUUGUCGCGUCUGCUGUGAAAACUCGGGGCUUAACUCCGGGCCUGCAGUGGGUACGGGCAGACUAGAGUGCGGUAGGGGAGACUGGAAUUCCUGGUGUAGCGGUGAAAUGCGCAGAUAUCAGGAGGAACACCGGUGGCGAAGGCGGGUCUCUGGGCCGAAACUGACGCUGAGGAGCGAAAGCGUGGGGAGCAAACAGG
rnacentral:rRNA from 1 species